CUGUGCCUGGCUAUGACUAGUUGUGCAUUCUAGAGCUCUUUAGAGCUACUUCAGAGUUGCAGGAUAAAGAUUUCUAGGGAAGAGGGCAGGGCCAGGCGCCCGGAGGAUUUCCAGCCACGGGUAGUUUACCGAGAGAAAAAGCUGCGGGCGUCGCUCCCUCUUUUACAUAAGAAAGGCUAAGCUCUAAAAGGCAGACAACUUCUUCCUGGCCCUUCGGAGAAGCUAGCCCUUGGAACCUAGGCCCUGAGUCGUGAGGAAGAGGAAAGACUACAUGGGGUCACUAUGUAAGGUGUUCCUGGUGACAGCUCCUGCUGAGGACCCAGCUGACAGCAAGCACCAACCUCCAGACAACAGGACCGGACUUCACAAAGCAGGGUGAAAGAAUUUGCAUGAUCUCCAUGGUGGCUAAUCAUAUAAUUUCCAGUUUCAGCAGCUGGCACCAGCUAUUUGCUCCCCCGCUACCCAAGCAAUUCUAGUAACUGUGAGAUAUCCUAUGAAUCACAGAACAAAUGCCCAACUCCUUUCUACAGUCACGGGGUCAGAGUACACAGCCAACCCACUAGCAGAGCUGGAGUUAUGGUUUGAGCCAAAGUACAACAAGGAAGGAGGAAGCCCCAACCUACCCCGGACAUGCCCUGAAUGACACAGCCAUUUAGGGCCUGCCAAAGAUGCCAUUCUGUUUGCAAACACAUAUUACCUGCCAUAUCACUCAACAAAAUAAUUCCAUCAGAAGGCCUGAAGGCAAAUGACUAAUGUUAAAAGUGGCCCAUGCAUCAUUUCAGUGACAACUCCACAGGCGCCAAUUAAACAUGGAAAAGACCUGUUCUGAAGCAUGCCCAUCUGGCAUUUCCCAAGGAACUGUAGUCAAUGGCUGAUAAAACAUACAUGAUCAUAACUAUAAAGAAAUUUCGCAGCCCUCUCCUUGCUCAAAAGCAACCGGGGCCUAUGAGGACAAUGAACCUGGAAGACACCCAAAAGAGGAGGUGAGUAAAGAAAAGCCUGCAUUUGAAGCCACCACUGCUCUUCCUCAUGCACAGAAAGCAAAGAUCGGGAGUUGCAUGAGGUCAGAUUUUCAGCCACCAAAAACAAACAAACAAAAAAACCAACCAAACCUCAAAAAAAACCCAGACGGGUCUAGGGAAUACUUGGGAGUUUGUCUGGUAGUCUGUGGGUGAACUUCAAUUGUUAUGUCUCCGAGUGAAAUAAAGGAUUGGCAGUAGUCCAUCCCCUGCUUCUAGGAGUGCUUUCCAGUAUCAGCAUUUGUAGGACUUGCUCAGCACACCAGGCCAAACUCACUGUCCAAAUAUCCUUCCCUAGAAAACAUACAAUAACCACCUUCUGAGUGGAAGGAAGAGGACACAUUUAACAAAUGAUGUCAAGGCAUAAAACCUCCGGCAGAGAGACAGUGGCUGGAGCAGAAGUGCUUUUCAAGGCUGCAGUUCUAAAUCAGUCAGGCAGACACCUGUAUACAUACAUACAUACAGAGACAAAGCUUCAAACACCACCACCUCAUCACACCUAAUGACUGCCUGUGAUGAGAGUCUGCAUUCUCUAUUCUGGCUUUCUAACAACAAAAAUGUGUCUUUAUACUCAGUUCUGAUUCUGAACCUAUUCUCUAAUGCUUAUCCAUUUUUUGUUUUUCCAAUACACAAGGUCAGAUAAAUGAGAAAUAAAAUAUUUUUCAGUUUUAAUUUUGAUCCAGAUCUAAAUUGUUUGUGACUUUUAAUUCAUUGCCUUUGAUUUCCCCUUCAAGUGAUUUAAGA
rnacentral:lncRNA from 10 species